rnacentral:lncRNA from 1 species
GAAGAAGCGUGCCUGGUGUGUGAUGUUGUUCUCCUCCAUCACGCGGCGCCUGUCCCGCUGCAGCUGCUCGAUCUGACCCUUCUGCGCCUCAGCUGCCGCCACGUUGCCCUCCUCCAGGUACCGCUGGUCGGGCCGCAGACGCGUGUCGGUGGAGGGCAGCACCCUGCGCAGCUCCGGCGUGAGCUCGUUCAGCUCCAGCGCAAACUGGGUGAAGCCGUAGUUCCGCUCGUGGUCGGGGGGCAUAGAGUUGGCUCUCCAGACGCACUGCCCUGGGGCUGGCCCACGGAACAGCCCUUCGUGCCAUUUGCCGGCCAGGCGCUCCACCACGGCCCCGCUGCGGCUCAGCACCGCGCCCUGCACCUCGUUGGCACCCGCGCCCCAGUACCGCGCCUUGCAGAAGGUGAUCUUGC